UAUUCCCCACUGCUGCCUCCCGUAGGAGUCUGGGCCGUGUCUCAGUCCCAAUGUGGCCGUUCAACCUCUCAGUCCGGCUACUGAUCGUCGACUUGGUGAGCCGUUACCUCACCAACUAUCUAAUCAGACGCGAGCCCAUCUUUGAGUGAUAAAUCCUUGAUAAUAGUAUCAUGCGGUACCAUUAUGUUAUGAGGUAUUACCAUCCGUUUCCAGAAGCUAUCCCUCUCUCAAAGGCAGGUUGCUCACGUGUUACUCACCCGUCCGCCACUAAGAAUAUCUAAGUAAACUCAAAUAUUCUCCGUUCGACUUGCAUGUGUUAAGCGUGCCGCCAGCGUUCAUCCUGAGCCAA
rnacentral:rRNA from 1 species